rnacentral:rRNA from 1 species
ACGAAGGGGGCUAGCGUUGCACGGAAUGACUGGGCGUAAAGGGCGCGCAGGCGGCUGUCAUAGUCAGGCGUGAAAUUCCUGGGCUCAACCUGGGGACUGCGCUUGAUACGUGAUGGCUUGAGUGUGGAAGAGGGUCGUGGAAUUCCCAGUGUAGAGGUGAAAUUCGUAGAUAUUGGGAAGAACACCGGUGGCGAAGGCGGCGACCUGGUCCAUUACUGACGCUGAGGCGCGAAAGCGUGGGGAGCAAACAGGAUUAGAUACCCUGGUAGUCCACGCCGUAAACGAUGUGCGCUGGAUGUUGGGCGGCCUAGCCGUUCAGUGUCGUAGCUAACGCGAUAAGCGCACCGCCUGGGGAGUACGGCCGCAAGGUUG